rnacentral:rRNA from 1 species
GCCCAAAAUCAAGCCUUUAACUCUUAUUAUUCAACCCCAUUUCUAUUCCUUCCCCUAAAUAAAACAUUUUAUUACUUUAGUAGAGGUGAUCGAAAAAUUAAUUAGCGCUUCACACACAGUACCGCAAGGGAACGAUGAAAUAGCUUUGAAAUAGACUAAAAGCCAAAAACAGCAGAGAUUACCCCUCGUACCUUUUGCAUCAUGGUUUAGCCAGUCCUAACCAAGCAAGGCGAACCCAAGUUUGGUCCCCCGAAACUAGGCGAGCUACUUCGAAACAGCUUUUAGAGCCAACCCAUCUCUGUUGCAAAAGAGUGGGAUGAUUUCCAAGUAGAGGUGAAAAGCCUAUCGAGCCUAGAGAUAGCUGGUUAUUCAAGAAAUGAAUUUUAGUUCACCCUUAAGCCCCCCCCCCGGUAACCUAAACACGACUCCCCCGCUUAAGAGCUAUUCAAUUAAGGCACAGCUUAUUUGAAAAAGAAUCCAAUCUAUAAUUUAGGGUAAGCCACGACUGCCUUGUUAAGUGGGCUUGAAAGCAGCCACCUUUCAAAAAGCGUUUAAGCUUAGCAUAUUCUAUUAAUAAAAUUCCACAACACCCCACGAACCCGACACCACAAUUGAAUAACUCUAUAGAUUAUAGAAGAUAUGAUGCUAAAACUAGUAACAAGAAAAAGACCUUUCUCCAAAAUAUAAGUGUAUGUCAAAACGAACUCAUCAUUGACACCUAACGCCCUUGAGCCCAAGAUAAUAACCCACCAAGAAAACCUUAUUACACAAUGACGUUAACCUAACACAAGAAUAUUUCUGGAAAGAUUAAAAGAGGGAGAAGGAACUCGGCAAAUCUAAGCCCCGCCUGUUUACCAAAAACAUCGCCUCUUGAAUAGAUAUAAGAGGUCCAGCCUGCCCAGUGAUACAAUUUAACGGCCGCGGUAUACUGACCGUGCGAAGGUAGCAUAAUCACUUGUUCUUUAAAUGGGGACUAGUAUGAACGGCACCACGAGGGCUUUACUGUCUCCUCCCCCCAAUCAGUGAAACUGACCUCCCUGUGAAGAGGCAGGGAUACCACUAUAAGACGAGAAGACCCCAUGGAGCUUUAAACCCAACAACAGCCCAAACACCACCGCCCCAAAAAGUUUUAAGGGUAUUGCUAGUUGGUUUUAGGUUGGGGUGACCGCGGAGUAUAAACUACCCUCCACGACGAACGGGCCUACCCCCUUACCCAAGAGCUACGCCUCUAAGGAUUAACACAUUAACGUAAAAUGAUCCAAAUAUUUGAUCAACGAACCAAGUUACCCUGGGGAUAACAGCGCAAUCCAUUUUUAGAGCCCCUAUCGACAAAUGGGUUUACGACCUCGAUGUUGGAUCAGGGUAUCCAGGAGGUGCAGCCGCU